UGUAGAAUAUUUAAUGGAUUUUCCUCAAACAAAUACAAAAUUUAAACCGGAACUAUUAAGUUUGUCCGAACAACAAAAACAACUUACCCAAUAUGAGGGUCAAGGGAGAGUGGAGAGUACACCAUAUAAUCCCCUAUCUUUAUGACGUAGAGAAACAUGUUUCUGAACCCAUAUUUAAUAUUGUAACUCCACCCCUGAAUCGAGUCUGAAUAAACUCUUCACAAAAUAUUAAAUUAUUGUUUGUGGAAAAUAAGUGGAGCACCAUACUGAGGCUGAGUGGUUACCAAGGACUGAGGAGCAUGUGUGUAGGAUGGAGACAAUUCAAAAGAGAAGCUUUGUAGGAUCAUACACAAAGUCAUCUUUGCCUCUAACAUGGCAAAAUUUUGUCCAAUGCAUAUUCUUGGACCCCAAGAAAAUGGAAAAUAUGUAACUUGACCCUUUGUUGCACCUGAUAUUCCUUCUCUAAAUCUCUCUGGAUUGAACUUGUUUGCAUCUUCACCCCAUAUAUCUUUAUCAUGAUGCAAUAAGAUAAUAGGCAAUGACACUAGCACACCAGUUGGUAGAGAUACUUCUCCUAGCGUAAUGUCUUCAUAAAUUCGUCGUGUAAGUACUG